ensembl:lncRNA
GAGUUUGGCCGGAGAAUCGGAGCAGCGGGGGCGGUAUUGCACCCGCUUUACCGCACCGUUGUGACGAAAAGAGAGCUGAGCCGGAAGGCAAAGCUCUCGAUCUACCGGUCAAUCUUCGUUCCUACCCUCACCUAUGGUCAUGAAGGAUGGGUCAUGACCGAAAGAACUAGGUCACAGGUACAAGCGGCCGAAAUGGGUUUUCCUCAGGAGAGUGACUGGUGUCUCCCUUAGGGAUAGGGUGAGAAGCUCAGCCAUUCGCGAGGAGCUUUCCUUUGCGUCGAAAGGAGCCAGUUGAGGUGGUUUAGGCAUCUGGUGAGGAUGCCCCCUAGGCGCCUCCCUAGGGAGGUGUUUCAGGCACGGCCAGCUGGAAAGAGGCCCCGGGGAAGACCCAGGACUAGGUGGAGAGAUUAUAUCUCUGCACUGGCCUGGGAACGCCUUGGGAUCCCCCAGUCAGAGCUGGUAGAUGUGGCCCGGGAAAGUGUGGGGUCCCCUGCUGGAGCUGUUGCCCCCGCGACCCGACCCCGGAUAAGCGGUUGAAGAUGGAUGGAUGGAUGGACAUUCAUAUAUGUUAUCCGUUUACAUGUCAUGGCAAAACAUUCAACCUCAGUGACACAAGGGUACAUCUGAUGAUACAUUGUCAACAUUGCAUGUCUGUCAGACUCAUCCACGAUUGUCUGGUGGAAUGGAGAAAGAGGCACCACUGUACAGUUUUCUAGGUUCUGCUGACACCAAAAUACUGCUUUACAUAAAGCAUAUCAGCUGUUUCAUUGCAAGUCCCAACCAUUUGUCUUCCUAAAAUACUGGUCCUUCCGUAUAACAAUAACCUUGUAUGUGAUUGGAGGACCCUUAGACUCCUCGUCCAAUCACGUGUGAGGUCAUAGGCAUGACUGAUACAGCAGUACUUGCAAGACGAGCAUACAAACAGUGUUACUAUAUUCAGAAGAACUGUAUCUCCAGUUCCUUUGUUUGGUUUUUGCUGGUUUGUGAAUAAUGGCUGGACGACGUCUCGCGUUCAACUCGCCUUCAACUCAUCUCCGCGGUCAGCAACUUUCGGCCAGUCCGCAGACAGACGAGAAGAAACUGCUGAAUGCUCUCAGUGGAUUGUCUCGCCAACUCCAACAACAAACUGCCGAUAUCAAUGAGCGUUCGGGACUCUCCAGGUUGCUGUCCAUAGAGGAGAGGUUUGCGGCGCGGGAGGAACUGACUCAAAGAAGAGGAGACUGGCGCUAGCGGAAGCGGUGCGCCGUCUUCACAACUCCGAGACGAAUUACAGGCGCUACGAACCGGAGCAAGGGUAAGAUUUAAAAAAUAUGCUUUCAUUCUGCGGUAUAAGGAAAUAUAUACAUAUAGAUACCAUAGGAUGGAUACCGAUCAUAACUGUACAUUUUGUUUUCACAGACUAAUCUCGCCUCAUAAUGAGGCGGUGACCUCGUAUUUGCUCCGGGAAAAGUCCAGAUUUCGAUUUAGAUAAAGACGUCAUUGUGUGUUAGUGACACUGUUUACAGUUUCUCCUUCCUUGUUAAAUGUUACUGUGACUUGCGUUUGAUUUUUUAUUCAUACCACUGUAGUGAAUGUGACUGCAUAAACUUCCACACCACACUCAUUUAAUUGUUUUCCAGCCGCCUGUAAGACGUAUUUUGAGACGGUACGCAGGAGCUUCAGGUUCUCCCAGCCGGAACACUCAUUGCGGGCGGAAGCUGCGAAGAAUUCAGCGCGGAGUCGAGCGAGAAGAAAGAGGCUGCUGGAAUCGAGACAAAGUGUGCUGGCUGAUGACGAGGUGGAACUCUGGAAAUCCGCCACCGUAGAGCUCAUGUCGGACGGAGAGGAUGGCGUUGUUUGCGGGGUCUCGGGGUGGAUUGUACGGUCGCCGCCAAAAUACAGAGCCACGCACACUAGGCGCCUGCACAACAGACCUGCCUCGGAAAACAUGCCGCCAGUGACAGUCUACAACCCCGAGGAGGCAAACGGACAGUUUACUGAGCUGUAGUUUUUUAAACCGCCUUUACCCAAGUGUGGGCAGAUCCUCACUUUGUAUAUAGUUGUUGUUUGUAUGUUGUUAAUAAAGCUCUUUCUUUGCAUAAACAUGUUCCUGGCAAAUGUUCAUUUUCUCUAUAAAUUCAUUGAUGUCCUGGAUGGUAUCCUAAUAAUAGUGUAGUAGCCUACAUAGGAUAACAAUGAAAUGAAUGUCCAGCAUAAUAUGAAUAUAUAAAUAUAUAUAAAUAAAAUGAGGCGGGUGACCAAUAGCGACAGAUCUGCCAACCAAUCACGAGUGAUUUGAAAGUUGUGGUUUCAUCACAAUCAUGAGCAAGGAAAACUCAAGCCUUGGUCUGCCCAGGUGUGGUUUUGCUGCCAAUCACGAGUGAUUUUACUUGUUUGAAAGAUGUGGUUUCAUCCAAUACGGAGUAGGGAUAUUUAAGCCCGCUCAGGCACCCGCGGUUUCGCUGUAUUCAUAUGCUAAUUUGGGCCAUUCGCACCUCCACCAGCUCUCCACAUACGCCUUGGAUUGUUUCCGACAAACACGACGUGCGCGGGUUGCAAAUUGUCGGAAAUGGUCGGAAAUUAGGGAGAUUUCCGGGCGUUUCCGGGGACGAAAAUCUCACUUUUCAUGCAGUGCAGUCCGUCAAGCUCCUGAAAUUUGCGGAUGACACCACCUUCGUUGGACUGAUCUCUGGUGGUGAUGAGUCCGCCUACAGGUGGGAAUCUGGUGUCGUGGUGCAGCCAGAACAACCUAGAGCUCAACGCCCUAAAGACAGUGGAGAUGGUUGUGGAUUUCCGGAGGAACAGAGCCCCACCUUCCCCCAUUACUCUGUGCGACUCCCCCGUCACUAUUGUGGAUUCCUUCCGUUUCCUGGGCUCCAUCAUCACCCAGGACCUCAAGUGGGAGCUGAACAUCAGCUCCAUCACCAAUAAGCAGCAGAGGUUGUUCUUCCUCAGGCAGCUGAAGAAAUUCAACCUGCCAAAGACGAUGAUGGUGCACUUUUACACGGCCAUCAUCGAGUCCAUCCUCUGCUCCUCCAUCACCGUCUGGUACGCUGCAGCCACAGCCAAGGACAAGGGCAGGCUGCAGCGUGUCAUCCGCUCUGCAGAGAGGGUGAUUUAGAUUAGAUUAGAUUCAACAACGAAAUGCAGUUUAACAUCCAACCAGAAGUGCAAAAUUGCAAAAAGUGCAGAGUAUGUGCAUAUGUAAAGUGUAAUAAGUGAAUAAAUAGAUAUGAUCGGCUGCAAUCUGCCGUCCCUGCAGGACUUGUUCGCUUCUAGGUCUCUGAAGAGAGCUAAAGAGAUCGUAGCCGACCCCUCUCACCCCGGACAAAACCUGUUUGUGCCCCUUCCAUCUGGCAAGUGUUUAACACUUAAAGUGAUAACAUUUAUGUACGUACAUUUGCAAAUGUACAUACUAAUUAUAAUGGUGAUGGUGGCCCAGAAGUGCAAAACACAACAGCAAAUAGGAAAACACAACGACAUCCACCAGAGGAUGGACCCUUCUGAUUGGACAGACGGACUGUCUGUCUUUUAACAGGAAAUGAGUACAGGGCUCUAAAGUAUCACGCAUUUCGGUCUCUUGUAACGCACUCCCGCCACACAUCCAAUUCCUCACGACAAGGAAUUGGAAUCCGGUCCCUGAGCCGUGUCGCCCGUAGUGUCCGCGGUACCCCUGCCCCCCCUUUUAUUUUACACACCUAAAUAUAAUUUACAUUUAUAAUAAACAACAAAACACCGGUAAAACAAUGGUGAAACACUAGUAGGACACUCGUAAAACAUCGCCAUCUCUCUGCUGCGGCUCUCCUUCUGCGCUCACUUCCACCCCUCAUCAUAGGCUCUCCCGCCACUGAUUUCUUGAUUUCUCAGCUUCCAGAAUCCGUGAGAAUUACGUUGAUUGUGCAAAUAGUUAAGGAGUCUCACGUUAAUUUGAAUCCUCCAUGUCACGGCGAAAGGCUUCGGACUGAGACGGUUCAAAGACAAACAGUCCGUCUGUCCAAUCAGAAUGGUCCGUCCACUGCUAGAUAGGCCCUACCCUUUCCGUACGAAGUUAAUGUCGUUGUGUUUUCCCAUUUGCCCUUGUGCCUCCUAUUUUUUGUUGUAUUUUUCUAUUUACUGUUGUUUUCUUAUUUGCCAUUGUGAUUAUCAGCUCCAUGGCAGCUACAAUUCACAUUGUAUUUACAAAACCUUCAGUUCAUCAGGUAAUUAGUGCCUUUCUCCGCCCAAUAUACUGCACAUUGCGAUCAUUAAAGAAAAUGCUGGCCGUGUAAAGCCUAACAUUAUUUUCAAACAGCAAUAUUGUCUCUUGAAUACUGGUUUAGGCAGCAAUUUACCUCAUAUUUUUAAGUCGAAACAACAUGUUAGAUUUUACAUUGUAUGAUUGGCUGAUCCCGUUUUCCUUACCCUAAAACUCCUCAUGACUAAACAGAACAAACAAAGGGGACAACUGUCAGCCAAUCAGACGUUCAGUAGUCGUUCAGUCAUGCUUAACCAUAGUAGGGAAAAAAUCAUAAAGGUGAAUAAAUCUUUUUCCGGACCAAUGAGAGCUUUUUUGGGAAUAUUGGUGUUCUGGAAUAAUAGCCUCUCGGAACAAGGGUCAGUCCCCCUCACAAGUGCUUGAGGGGAGGGGGAACUGCCCCAGAUAGUCACUAUCUUGUUGCUCUAUGAGGUAAUGUUGGAAUUCACAAAAGUUGGAAAUCUGUAUAUGCAUAUGUAUAACUCCACAAUGGGUGGGCCAGUAUCAUGCAUGGUAGCCCAUCAUCGGAGAUGAAAUAAUGAACAGGAGGCAAAUAAUCAAAGACUGUAAAAGCGAGACAGAUACAUUGCUGCCAACAUAUUUUUGACCGAUAGAUGUUCAGUUCUUAAUACAUUGCAAUAAGUCUCCUUUUAGGCUAUUGAGUUUUUCCAUACAUGACAAUUACAUCGCUAUUGUAAGCUGCUACAUAAAGCAAUAACCAAUUUAGUUCCCAAGUCCUGUGGCCAUCACACAGUAACUAAUAACAUCCAUCAUGGUAUUUUUUUGGGCCCUUGUUUUUGUGAAAGCUGUUCUUCUAGACUGAAAUACAACCCAGCUUUAUUGUGGCUAGAAACCAGUUCUGCUCCUGCUGCAACCAAAAAUUAAUGUUCUCUGUAAACCCAACCUAAGGAGGGUCUGACUAUGUUAUCAGAUUCAAGGUGCAAAUGCAGCAUAUAACAUGUUGGGAGGGAUCCGUAAAUUACAUUGAGACCCUUUAUAGCACUAGUUAAAUAUAUGCAUGGGAAUUCAGUCAACAUUAUGUACUGAGAUGAAUGUGUUGAUUGCAGGUGUGCAUUCCCACUUACUGUGAGAUUUCAGAAAACAGUUCUAGUGGCUUAAAGAUGGGUUUAUCAACUAAUUGUGCCCGUAGAUGUGGCUUGAGACCUUGAUGGAUUUUUCCAUUGUCUCUACUUUCACCGCUUAUGACUUAUUCAGUGAUUCAUUUUUAAUCAAAGCUGAAAUCAAAGAUGUCUGUUAGGCCAUUAACAGCCCAUAAUAUUUGGCUGUAACAAAUAAAACAUGUACUUUUUAUUUCAAAACGUGACAUGAGUGAAGUGAAAGCAAAUAGAUUUGAUUACUUUGUAAAUGGGGUGAUGAAAAGGUCAUACUUAUUGUACUGACAGUUUCUGUCAAAUGAUCCAUUAUCGUAGGCCCGCUGAGACUUAAAAAACACAUUCGGCAGGUACAUCUGCUCACUUGAAGACAGCCCAAUUUUAAAUUAAUCUCAUUGCAUAAUUCAAAGUUGUGACUAAGUCAGGCAUGUUAAAAAAGGCAUCUUAAAUUAUACCAUCCAAACUCUGGUGUCUCAUUAAUAUUACAGGAACUAUUCUUUGACUUGAUUUCAUUUACUUUAUCCAUCUGAGUGAGGACAAACGUCCCAGAAGGGAGGAAUUACAAAGGGUGAAAAUCACAUUUUAGGGU